rnacentral:tRNA from 1 species
UGGCUCAGUGGUAGAGUGCUUGCCUUGCAUGCAUGAGGCUCUGGGUUUGAUUCCUUG